rnacentral:rRNA from 1 species
UCCAGCGGAACGAGAUAUCUGACCUUCGGGGAACGAUAUCGGCGUCGAGCGGCGGACGGGUGAGUAAUGCCUGGGAAAUUGCCCUGAUGUGGGGGAUAACCAUUGGAAACGAUGGCUAAUACCGCAUAAUAGCUUCGGCUCAAAGAGGGGGACCUUCGGGCCUCUCGCGUCAGGAUAUGCCCAGGUGGGAUUAGCUAGUUGGUGAGGUAAGGGCUCACCAAGGCGACGAUCCCUAGCUGGUCUGAGAGGAUGAUCAGCCACACUGGAACUGACACACGGUCCAGACUCCUACGGGAGGCAGCAGUGGGGAAUAUUGCACAAUGGGCGCAAGCCUGAUGCAUCCAUGCCGCGUGUGUGAAGAAGGCCUUCGGGUUGUAAAGCACUUUCACUCGUGAGGAAGGUAGUGUGUUUAAUAGAUGCAUUAUUUGACGUUAGCGACAGAAGAGGCACCGGCUAACUCCGUG